rnacentral:rRNA from 1 species
AGAGUUUGAUCAUGGCUCAGAACGAACGCUGGCGGCAUGCCUAACACAUGCAAGUCGAACGUGAUCCAGGCUUCGGCCUGGUGAAAGUGGCAGACGGGUGAGUAACGCGUGGGAACCUGCCCUGUGGUAGGGAAUAACCGUGGGAAACUGCGGCUAAUACCCUAUGAGUCCUUCGGGAGAAAGAUUUAUCGCCAUAGGAGGGGCCCGCGUCGGAUUAGGUAGUUGGUGGGGUAACGGCCUACCAAGCCUUCGAUCCGUAGCUGGUCUGAGAGGAUGAUCAGCCACACUGGGACUGAGAUACGGCCCAGACUCCUACGGGAGGCAGCAGUGGGGAAUAUUGGACAAUGGGGGCAACCCUGAUCCAGCAAUGCCGCGUGGAUGAUGAAGGCCUUCGGGUUGUAAAGUCCUUUCGGCGGGGAAGAUGAUGACGGUACCCGCAGAAGAAGCCCCGGCUAACUUCGUGCCAGCAGCCGCGGUAAUACGAAGGGGGCUAGCGUUGUUCGGAAUUACUGGGCGUAAAGGGCGCGUAGGCUGUGCUGUAAGUCAGGCGUGAAAGCCCCGGGCUCAACCUGGGAAUUGCGCUUGAUACUGCGGCGCUGGAAGGUGGGAGAGGAUGGCGGAAUUCCCAGUGUAGAGGUGAAAUUCGUAGAUAUUGGGAAGAACACCGGUGGCGANNNCGGCCAUCUGGCCCACAUUUGACGCUGNNNCGCGAAAGCGUGGGGAGCAAACAGGAUUAGAUACCCUGGUAGUCCACGCUGUAAACGAUGAGUGCUAGNCGUCG